UUUUUUUUUACCCGGAAGUGAAUCCAAAACAUACCGAGGGAAAUUUAUGAAAUUUAUCUUGUGGCCACUAAACACAGAUGAUUCCACUAUGCCUGUGUAUUUAAUAUAAAAUGGCCAGUUGGGUUAUCACAAAGAUUAUUGAAGGCAGGCAGCUUCUUACUCGAGGUGACCAGGAUUCAUCAAAUUAGUUCAUUGUCAAUAAUGAUAUUCCUUGUUCCUUUGAUGGUUCAUUCCACUACACAGCUGUUUCAUAUAACAUACAACAGCCAGGAAAUUGGCCUGUUUAUUUUAAGAUCCCAAGAAAAUGUAACAUAUUUUGGAUGUGCUUUGAGGAAUCAGGAAUGCAAGUGUUUCCUCUUGUUUAUGAAGCAACUCAGUUGGUUAAGGGGCAGACAACUUGUGAGCAUGGUACAUCACUACCUGUAUUGGUAUUCCAUUUUGACAAUGUUACUAGCUAGAAUAGAAAUAACAUCUUGCUGUGGUACAGUCUAUGGAGACUUUUACUAGGAUAUCAGAGAUCGAUUGAAUAUUCAACAAUGAUUACAGACCAUGAAAAGUUUGAAUCUGUCUUGCACUUUUGAAUUUAGAAGAAUCUGUGGAGGAGGUUGAAUGCUGAGACCUUUAAUAAUACAUGAUAUUGCUGACACAGUGUGUCAGUCAUGAAAGAAAGGCCAUAACACUGCACAGUUGGUCAACAAUGAUUUAAAUCCUGUCACAUUCUACCAGUGAAGAAAUAUCUUAUCACAAUAUUUUAAACUUUUGAAGAAGAUAACCCAGUAUUACCACUUUAUCAUGUCUGCAGAAACACAUGGAUUGUUAGUGUUAAAAGUGACAGUCCAGUUAACUUACUAAAAUCUACUCCCCCUUGCCAAACGAAUAUUAUUGACAUGGAAUGACACAAGCCUGACAAUGGUACCUGUAUGGACUCGUAAGAGAAUAGUAUUUGUCUGAAAAGUCAAAGGAUUCUGUUUGUCCCAAACCACUUCAACUGAAAACUGAAAUUGUGAUUGGCGAGGAUUUUUCUGAGAAUUGAAAAAAGGAAGUGAAUGUAAAAGAUAGAAAUUGUUGUUGAAUUCAAACGUUUUUAUACACAACACUUUAGCCUGUUUUGCUGUUCAUAUAGAUGUGUUUAGCUGUUAAGGUUAAACAUCAAGUAAAGGUUGUAGUUUCAGUUACCAACAUUAAAGUAUUGGCUGGAAAUAAAUAUCUACUUUUCAUCAGAGUUUGUAGCAGUGUAACCUUCAUCAAAAGUUAAGCUGUUGUGUUAAUAAAGUAUUU